UUUUUUCCCAGCAAGCUGCGCGCCCGGUCGGGCCUCAUCCCUUUUGUGCCAUCCGGGUCUCUCGCGCAAGAGAUUUAGUCUGUGGCGAAGCUUCGAGGCGGCCAGUACUGUUGAGUGCGACAAGCAGAGGCGCCGCCUUAGCGGCCUGGACUCAAAAACAAUGGCGGCUAUUGAUACAGAACGAGAUGGAUUAGCCCCAGAAAAGACAUCGCCAGAUAGAGAAAAGAAGAAAGAACAGUCAGAUAUAUCUGUUUCUCCUAGAGCCUCAAAACAUCAUUAUUCAAGGUCGAGGUCAAGGUCAAGAGAAAGAAAACGAAAGUCAGAUAAUGAUGGGAGAAAGCACAGGAGCCGGAGCAGAAGCAAAGAGGCAAGAAGACAUGAAUCCAAAGAUAAGUCCUCUAAGAGACACAAGUCUGAGGAGCACAAUGACAAAGAACAUUCUUCUGACAAAGGAAGAGAGCGAUUAAAUUCAUCUGAGAAUGGUGAGGACAGACAUAAACGCAAAGAAAGGAAGUCGUCACGGGGCAGAAGUCACUCGAGGUCUAGAUCUCGUGAGAGGCGCCAUCGCAGUAGAAGCAGGGAAAGGAAGAAGUCUCGGUCAAGGAGUAGGGAUCGGAAAAAAUCUCGAUCCAGAAGCAGAGACAGGAAGAAGUCAAGAUCCAGAAGCAGGGAUAGAAAACGGAGGAUCAGAACACGUUCCCGGUCAAGAUCCAGACACAGGCAUAGGACUAGAAGCAGGAGCAGAUCACGGAGUCGAAGUCGAGAUAGAAAGAAGAGAAUCGAAAAACCAAGAAGAUUUAGCAGAAGCCUAAGCCGGACACCUAGUCCGCCUCCCUUCAGAGGCAGAAACACAGCAAUGGAUGCCCAAGAAGCACUAGCUAGGAGAUUAGAAAGGGCAAAGAAAUUACAAGAACAACGAGAAAAGGAAAUGGUUGAAAAACAAAAACAACAAGAAAUGGCUGCAGCUGCAGCCACUGGAGGUUCUGUUCUUAAUGUUGCUGCACUCUUGGCAUCGGGAACGCAAGUUACUCCUCAGAUAGCUAUGGCAGCUCAAAUGGCAGCCCUGCAAGCUAAGGCCUUGGCAGAGACUGGCAUAGCUGUGCCCAGCUACUAUAACCCAGCAGCUGUGAAUCCCAUGAAAUUUGCUGAGCAAGAGAAAAAGAGGAAAAUGCUCUGGCAAGGCAAGAAAGAAGGCGACAAAUCUCAGUCUGCUGAAAUAUGGGAAAAAUUGAAUUUUGGAAACAAGGACCAAAAUGUCAA
rnacentral:lncRNA from 1 species